AGCAUGAUCUGGUAAUUAGAACCAAUCAGUCUAGACAAUAGAGUACUGAAUCUUGCACCAACAAAUUCAGAUAUGUAGACACAUAGGUGCGGAGAAUUAUAUACUUGGCGGAACCCAUAUGGUUUAUAUAUAUAUAUAUAUAUAGAUCACCCGCUUCAGAUCAAUUUUCUUGAUUUUAUUCUAUGAAUAUGUGAGUAAUAUUAAGAUUGAUUCUAUAGCUAAAACAGAAAAGUUUUUAAAGGGGUUUUCAAGGAAGCCAAGGAUUAUUAGCUAGAAUCAACGAGAAAUUUAAAUCUCGUUGAUCCACUUCAGCUUCGUAGAUAAUAGGGUUCUAUCAGGUCAUCCUGCAGCUUCAAUCACUCACUUCCGACAAAGGAAUAAACUUUCGCAUCUUUUUAAGGAUGUCUAUCAGUACUGGUUCAUACCCUACAAAUGCAUUCCAGCAGUUAUACAGAUCUAGAAGUAUACCAAGCACUCCUACCUAGACAGAAUACAUGAUGCAUGCAUCAGCCUUAUAUAUAAGAACCCUCGAGUACUAGAAGGACAAAGCCUAACUUGAUAAGAUCACAAAUUAGAUCAACUUGGAAGCAAGGAGAGCAUGCACCGGCACCUAGCUGUUAGCCAGCAGGUUCCAGCAAGUAGUAGCAGUGGCAGCAGAUGAUAGUGAUCAGAUGGUGAAUAUCGUGUGCGAAUUACAAUUAACACUGGCACUACGUAGAGUUCCAGCAAUCCGGCCAAAGCAACACGUACAAUAAAUGACAGCAGUAGUUCCAACACAAGCAAAGUAAUACUCAACCAGCACUUCAACAUCAGCAAGCAUGGAUAGCAUGGAAAGCAUCAGCACCAAUAAAGCCACUUUACCUGAAAAGAUCGAACAUGUAUGGUAGACAACCAAGCAAGAGACAGCUAGCUAGCUAGACCAGUACUAGAUCUUAAUCCCCGACUUCCUUGCAAGACUAAUAUAUAUUAUGCGGAGAUGGUCCAAAUUACCUUGAUAAAGAGAUCAACUAACUUGGUUUUAAUACAGAAGUUGAUCAUCUCGUGCAUGCAGUAGAUAGAUCAUUCUCCAAUUUGCUAAAUAAUUUUGGAUUCCAUAUAGAGUCUGACGUUGUUCCUUUCCUUCCAGAUGGUAUAUAUAAAUAAACCGAAUUGUGGCUA